rnacentral:misc_RNA from 1 species
GAUGAAGAACGUAGCGAAAUGCGAUAAGUAAUGUGAAUUGCAGAAUUCAGUGAAUCAUCGAGUCUUUGAACGCACAUUGCGCCCCCCGGUAUUCCGGGGGGCAUGCCUGUCCGAGCGUCAUUGCUGCCCUCAAGCACGGCUUGUGUGUUGGGCCCCCGUCCCCGGUUUCCCCCGGGGACGGGCCCGAAAGGCAGCGGCGGCACCGCGUCCGGUCCUCGAGCGUAUGGGGCUUUGUCACCCGCUCUGUAGGCCCGGCCGGCGCCAGCCGACACCCAACUUUAUUUCUAAGGUUGACCUCGGAUCAGGUAGGGAUACCCGCUGAACUUAAGCAUAUCAAUAAGCGGAGGA